rnacentral:rRNA from 1 species
UACGUAGGGGGCAAGCGUUGUUCGGAUUUAUUGGGCGUAAAGAGCUCGUAGGCGGUUUGGUGAGUCGGGUGUGAAAUCUCCACGCUCAACGUGGAGGGGCCACCCGAUACUGCCAUGACUGGAGUCCGGUAGAGGAGUGUGGAAUUCCCGGUGUAGCGGUGAAAUGCGUAGAGAUCCGGAAGAACACCGGUGGCGAAGGCGGUCUGCUGGGCAGUUGCUGACGCUGAUGCGCGACAGCGUGGGGAGCAAACAGG